ACAUACGACCACAGACUCAAGAGAAUUGGGCAUCCCGUCCGCUCUGCCAUACACAAGCUUGAGAUCGGUAGAUUAGUAGUUGGGUGGGUGACCACCAGCGAAUACCCACUGUUGUAUGUU
rfam:Pseudogymnoascus pannorum VKM F-3557 contig_2253, whole genome shotgun sequence.